UGGGUAGACAGCUUGUACUAGCAAUGGUCCUUAGGUGAGUUGCAGCCUUGAAAGACUUUCUAAGGCUUCCUAGAGAAGGGUCAUGUUCUUGCAGGGCCCCAUUUCUCUCAGUAGACAAGAGAGGCUAAACCAGGCUACAGGUGACAGGAAGAAUUAAAUAAACAGAAAGCAAAGGUCAUCCUCCUAAUUACACUUUGUGGCCGCACGGACAAUCUGGAGAAGUCUGGAAAUGUGAGUGGUGCCAAUGCCCUCAGUAAUGACAGGCCUGGGUACCCACGAGGCAAGUAGGUGUAAUGGGGAUUUCAGGAGCUUGCAUCUGAUGUCACAGCUUGUCUGGAUGGAGCGUUCAUCUAUUUGCAGAACUAUGUUCCCAUCUAGUGUAAUUGUGGGUGUUUUAAUUCAGGCGUCACCUUUAUUUUGCCCUCUCCACACGGCUUCCUUAUACCAUUUUACUACUUGAGGGAGUAGUGGGUGGGAUGCUGGGCAAGUGGCUGCAAUGGUUGGUGCUUUAUGGUUUCCCUGGCAUCCCCUGAAUCUGUUAACAUCCCAACCUUCUUGACAGCCAGCCCCACCCCAUCACAUUCUUACUCCUUCCCUUUCCAAGAAAGAAGCCAGAAGCCCGAAGAAGCCAGCAGUAGAACUCUGGCCGGCUAGUAUACCUAGAAAGGGAGGGCUCUUCUUUCCGCCUCACGGUCGCAAUGGGGACCCGUAGGCACCCAUUUCGGACUAUUGCGUCCCUUCGCAGAGAAAGUUAGGAGUCCGGGCUAUUGUGAAUGAAGUUGAUUCUGAUCGUCUUCUGGCAGAGAAUGUGGAAUAAAAUAUCUCAUUUGCAGUUGUUUGUUUCCUGUUGGGGCCUUCUAUUUUCAUCUUUCAGUCACUUUGGUGAUAGUAAUCAAACCCUAAUCAUGGUGCAGCCACAAAGUCACAGGGACCAAAAUAGCAGACGUAUGACAGACAAGGACGGAGACAGCUAAGGACCUGGUUAUUAAUCACCAGUCCCUUCGCUCACAGCCCAUUGGCUUAGGUGUCUGGAGAAGAGCGGAAGCCGAGAGAUAUCGGCCUGUGCCUGAGGCCUCUGAGCAGCCAAGGAAGGGCCCCUAGGUCCCAGAGCAGCAAAGUGAGCAGGAAGUAACCUCAAAAAAAAGUAAGUUCACUGCACGUGUCAAGCAAGGCGGCUCACAGAAGGGCCUGAUUUGAGCCAAAUCAAGGCCAAGAGAGUCUCCCCAAAACUCUUGACAGCUCAAAAAGACCACAAGCAAAAGCAGAAACCCCCCUACCUAGGAGGACAGGAUUCUGCCAAUUGGUUCCUUUCUCGUUUUUUUGGGUUUUUUUUUUUUUUUUAGAAGUUCCAAGAAGCUCACAGUGCCUCUGGGGGUGGGGUCAGGGUGAGGCAGGGACAGUUUUUCUUGCAAAAGCCAAAAGGAGAAACAAUUGGAAAAUAUCAACAUUUCUUGCACAAUCGCCACCCCCCCCCCAAGAAUGUGUGAGUGAGCCCUAAACCAUCCUCGACUGGCAGCCGUACAAACGGAAGUGAGGUUACGAAAGUAAAGACGGGCGUGAGUAAGACUGGCGGGGCACUGAGCACUUCUCGCCUUAUCUCAGGAAGAACCCCGAACUAAGUGAAUGAAAAACGCAUCUGAUUCACAUCAAAUAAAGACGCCAUAAGUCCUGACUCAUCAAAUAUCGGCGUGUGACAGGCACGCCGUCAGCUGAUCCACAGUGUCUGCCAGUGCUAAAGUCCUGAGACGAAGGACGAGUUGGCCAGGUCCUACGUAGAGGUGAUGCUGUAGAUGGUGAGUCUCUCCGUGGGACAGUCGCUACAGGAAGGCCAAUGACAACAGAAGCCAGUGUCUCAUCACAGACAGCAAGGAAGGGCAGGAGCUCCUCCACCAUGACCCUGGUGGGAGUCAGAAAGGAAGCACGCUGGUCCUCAUCAGAAGACGUUCUAGAUGCCAGUCAGGCGCACGUCUAAACCGGGGCCAGUGGCCUAACCGUGCUUGAUAUGACAGAGGUUCAAGAAGGAGACUUCUCAGUCGGAGAAGUUGAGAACUGUGCUUGGGGAAACAAAAGUGGACUCACAUGAUUCUCCGUUCACUCAGCAGACACCGGUUCAGAGCUGAUGUGCCAGGCACUGAGGGAGACCUUGAAGGAAGUCAGUGGCCCUAUUAAAACAGCUUCUGUCCUCAAGGAGUGCUCGGUGGAGAAGGGGGUGGGAAUGGGAAGACACCCUAUCCUAUCUCCUGACUGGAGAACAGAAAAUAGCAGACUUAUUCUUCGGAGAGGGGAUCUCACAUGGUUUCUCAAAGGAAGAAGAUUUGAGGACUGGGUGGACUGAGCUGAGGAGGUAGAGUGGAAGCUUAUGGUAGUUCUGAUGGUCCUGGCUGACGUAAACAAGGCCAGGCUGUAGUUCAGUGGCAGAGGACACCCUGGGUUAGGGCCCAGCCAAAAUGGAGAAAAAGAAAUCAAAAUGGAGGGGCCAGAGAGAUGGCUCUGUGGUUAAGAGUCCUGAGUUCAAAUCCCAGCAACCACAUGGUUGGUGGCUCACAACCAUCUGUAAUGAGAUCUGAUGCCCUCUUCUGGUGUGUCUGAAGACAGUGACAGUAUAUACAGAAGACAGCAAUCAUGUAUAAUAAAUAAAUAAAUCUAAAAAAAUAAAAAAAAAUCAAAAUGGAGCCUAACAUGGCUUGAGAAAGAA